rnacentral:rRNA from 1 species
UACGUAGGGUGCGAGCGUUGUCCGGAAUUAUUGGGCGUAAAGGCUCGUAGGCGGUGUGUCGCGUCGGCCGUGAAAACCUGCAGCUUAACUGUGGGCUUGCGGUCGAUACGGGCAUCACUGGAGUUCGGCAGGGGAGACUGGAAUUCCUGGUGUAGCGGUGAAAUGCGCAGAUAUCAGGAGGAACACCGGUGGCGAAGGCGGGUCUCUGGGCCGAUACUGACGCUGAGGAGCGAAAGCGUGGGGAGCGAACAGG